rnacentral:lncRNA from 1 species
ACCGGUCUGGUCCACCAUUUUUUUUUCGUAAAACGUAGAAAUUUAAAAAUGUAUAUACAUUUUUGUAGUGAUUUUCUACUCCAGAUUGUUAUCCCGUUAAAAUGAGACUAUUUUCGUAUAGUUUGGUCAAAUAGUGUUUUCAUAAAAUACCAUCAAAGGGGAUUUUUUUUUCGCAUUGAUACCCAAAUCCAGCUAUGAACUACCAUUUUUUUUUCUCAUAAAACUUAGAAAUUAACGAAUAAAUAUGCAAUUUAAUAAUCUUAUAUUACUUCCAAAU